AAGGACUUCCCCUUUGGAAAGUUUAGCAAGGAGGAGGGGCUUGAACUGAGCCAGCAGGAGCCAUCUGCUUUCACACCUAUUCCAAUCUAAUCCUUUUCUUGCAGGACGUUGGGACAAGAUAGCCUUUCUAUAGGAAAGCAGCUAAAUGCGUGCAUUGCCCCACGCAGGAAUACAAGGGACAGAGCAAAAGGAAACAAAGCCUUGCUGUGCCCCGGCUCUGCAGAAACAGCCUGAGGCUCUGGCCUCUGCCUAUCGGUGACUUGUCCAACAGCUGAGGAGUGUUCUGCAACUGUAUUUAUGCUGACAUCUGAUGUUAAUGACUAGACUGGCUUUUGAAGUUGCAAUAAGAUUUUAAGUACUCUACAUCCAACCUGGGACUUGCACUCACCCUCAAGAUCAGGAGUCACCUGCUCCUCUGACUGAGCCAGCCAGGCAUCCCUCUGAUUGGUAUUUUAAAAAAAGUUUUAAAGUUCACAACCCUUGUUCCCAAAACUCCAGUUGAAGAAUUAGUUAUUUAUAAAAGACUUAGAACAGUGCCUGGCACAUUGUAAGUGCUCAAAUUAAUGUUUUAAAAAUAAAUUGGGAAAAUCCUCCGUAUACAACCCAUCAUAGCUUAAAGAGGUUUGGGUGGGGAGGGAAACAUUUCAUGGGGUUGAGCUUCAAGGUGGCUUCUCCUUGGGGCCUGACCCUUGGCCUCUGCAGGCACUUGGGGCCAGGUUCUGCCUUUCCACGGUGGACCCGCAGGACUGGAGUUUACAGACAUUUAUAUGAGAACUGUAUCUAUCAUGCAGACUGGAGUCCUCAUCAACACGAUGUCAGCAUUUUCUC